AUUGAACGCUGGCGGCAUGCCUUACACAUGCAAGUCGAACGGCAGCACGGGAGCAAUCCUGGUGGCGAGUGGCGAACGGGUGAGUAAUAUAUCGGAACGUGCCCAGUCGUGGGGAUAACGUAGCGAAAGCUACGCUAAUACCGCAUACGAUCUAUGGAUGAAAGGCGGGGGAUCGCAAGACCUCGCGCGAUUGGAGCGGCCGAUAUCAGAUUAGGUAGUUGGUGAGGUAAAGGCUCACCAAGCCGACGAUCUGUAGCUGGUCUGAGAGGACGACCAGCCACACUGGGACUGAGACACGGCCAGACUCCUACGGGAGGCAGCAGNGGGAAUUUUGGACAAUGGCGCAAGCCUGAUCCAGCAAUGCCGCGUGCAGGAU
rnacentral:rRNA from 1 species